rnacentral:rRNA from 1 species
UAUGUGAUCGUCUCUCGCAUAUCAAUAAGCGGAGGAAAAGAAACUAACAAGGAUUCCCCUAGUAACGGCGAGUGAAGCGGGAAGAGCUCAAAUUUGAAAUCUUAAAGGGUUUCCCUUUACGAAUUGUAGUUUAAAGAAGUGUUUUCUGUUGAGGUUUUGGUAAAAGUUCUUUGGAAUAGGACAUCAUAGAGGGUGAGAAUCCCGUAUUUGACCUUUACUUUCAACUUUGUGAUACACUUUCAAGAGUCGGAUUGUUUGGGAAUGCAGUCCAAAAUGGGUGGUAAAUUUCAUCUAAAGCUAAAUAUUGGCGAGAGACCGAUAGCGAACAAGUACCGUGAGGGAAAGAUGAAAAGAACUUUGAAAAGAUGAGUUAAACAGUACGUGAAAUUGUCAAAAGGGAAGCGUUUGACACCAGUGUUGUUUUUCUGAAAAUCAAUUAAAGAACUGUUUAUGCUAAGUUGUUUAGACUUUAUCAGCUAUCUGUUUAGUUUUGAGCUUUUCUUUAAUGCACUUUUCAGUUAACAAGUCAACAUCAAUUUCUUUUGCUGUAAAAAAGCUUGAGGAAGGUGGCUUGAGAUUCGUCUUAAGUGUUUAUAGCCUCUUGCCUAUGCAGUCGGAGAGAUUGAGGUCUGCAGCGUAGAUCCUUCGGGGCUAAAUGCAUUUGUGCUAAGUUAUAGCAUUUUAUAGACAACUUGUUGACUAUGAUUUGUCUUGUAGCUUACUCGCUUAUGUUAUUUUACCUACGCUUAGGAUGUUGAGUAGCGACAUACGCAC